rnacentral:rRNA from 1 species
UACAGAGACUGCAAGCGUUAUUCGGAUUCACUGGGCGUAAAGGGUGCGCAGGCGGUUGUGUGUGUCAGGUGUGAAAGCCCGGGGCUUAACCCCGGAAUUGCGCCUGAAACUACAUGGCUAGAGCAUUGGAGAGGGUAGCGGAAUUCACGGUGUAGCAGUGAAAUGCGUAGAUAUCGUGAGGAACACCAGAGGCGAAGGCGGCUACCUGGACAAUUGCUGACGCUCAGGCACGAAAGCGUGGGGAGCAAAAGGG